rnacentral:rRNA from 1 species
GACGUAGGGCGCGAGCGUUGUCCGGAUUUAUUGGGCGUAAAGAGCGUGUAGGCGGCUUUGCAAGUCCGUUGUGAAAACUCGAGGCUCAACCUCGAGACGCCGGUGGAAACUGCAAAGCUAGAGUCCGGAAGAGGAGAGUGGAAUUCCUGGUGUAGCGGUGAAAUGCGCAGAUAUCAGGAGGAACACCCGUGGCGAAAGCGGCUCUCUGGGACGGUACUGACGCUGAGACGCGAAAGCGUGGGGAGCAAACAGG